rnacentral:sRNA from 1 species
AUUUUUCUAGUAUAUUUAGAUUUCUCGUACCACUUGACUCUUGGAAACUUCCGAACAGC